GGGCGUGUAGUUCAUUGGCAGAACGUCUCCCUGAUAAGGAGAAAGUAGUAGGUUCGAUUCCUACCACGCCCA
rnacentral:tRNA from 1 species